GGCGGUGGGGGGGUGUAUUGCCUGAGCGCCGGCCAACAGCUUUGGCAGACAGGGACCCUUCAAAUCUUUGAAAUAUUCAUACGCCACUGCAGGGUUAUCCCCCAUUUACAAAUAAGUGUUAUUCUAGCGGCUGAGGGAGUGAUGCUGGGAGACCUCUGCUGCCUCUUCAGCUCAAGAGGCUCCUCCAGCAGCCAAUCCCGGGCAAAAUUUAGCCCUAUAUGUUUGACUUUCUGCAGGGCUGGCUGCUGCAGGCAAAUACACCACUCACUGCUGAAUUCUUCUCUUCUUAAAAAUGUUUGCUCAGUGUUUUUGCAGUUUAAUCUCCUGCAGAGCUGCAUGUUGCAAAUAGAAAAAUAUUGGGUUUUUUUUUUUACUCACCUGCAUUUGCCCAGAUGAUGGAUCUUUAACUCAAAUAUCCAAAAUCACGUCAUAGCAAUAAAGCGCUCCUAAAAUGCUGCUAAAUUUUAGAUCUUUUCUUUACAUCUACUUCCUGAUAGUGCAUGGUUGCAAGGUAAACAUGUUUUUUUUUUUUAUUUAAUGUGCUGCGCUUUCACAAUAAUUUUGCAUCAUCUUAACAUUGUGUGAUUUAAACUCAAUUUUUUUUUGCAUUUGUUGAUGUCUGACAAGAUUUAAGUUGAACUAAUUUAAUUAAAUCGACUUUUUUUAAAAGCAUUUUUGUAGACUGAACGAAUACAAAGCAAAGGACAGUGCAGGUGAGAAUCAAGUCUUGUAUAAAUGCAAAUGAAUUUCUUGGCAAAUAAUAUUGCAUCAACUUAAUAUGUGUAACUUAAACUCAAAUCCAUGCCUUUGUUGAUUUAUGACACGUUUUAAGUUGAGCUAACUUAAUUAAAUUGGCUUGAUAACCUUUUUAGGCUGGACAAAUAUUACACAAAGGACAAUUAAAGGCUGAACAAAUAUGGCACAAAGGACAAUUAAAGUUUCAGGCUGAACAAACAGGACAAUUAAAG